AUUAUUUCAACCCCAGCAAUCCAAACUAUCAUCUUGAAGUCCAUCCUCUUCAUCUCCCUCGCUGUAGCAAGCAUCUUAAUGGUGCUUCCAUCAGAGCAAAUAGACGGAAAUCCGGUACCCACAAUCAUCUUUAAGGGACACCCAUCUAUCUUUCAUGCCUACUAAUAUCAGUCAGCUUUGCCUUCAGUGGAGCAUUUGCAGCAUCGAUGAUGGAAAGCCAGUCUAAAAUUGCAAGGUUCUGCAGUUAUUAUUCCAUAGCUUCCAUGGCAUCAGAUUUUUCAGUAUUGAUGUUUGCCAUAUUCCUGCAGGUUGGCUGGCAGCUACAGACGAGGAGUAGUUAAGCUAUAUACUCAUCAGUUUUUCCAACUUUAAAAAAUUAAUGCUUCAUCUAAUAUAUGAAUGAUUUGCUAUUUUCCCAGUUUUUUUUUUUUUUUUUUUUUUCAUUUUUUCUCGCUUAUAUAGUGGCCAUUUUGAAUUGGUUUCUCUGUGCUUUAAGGCUGUGUUUAAAUCUAAUUAAAGACAAUGCAACAGUGUUCACAAAAAUUUGGCAACUGACCAAAAC
rnacentral:lncRNA from 1 species